GAUAUUUAGUGUUUGGCUUUUUGUGAUCUCACCAUGUUGGUUAGCUUGCAAGCUCUGAAGUCUCCUCGUGUUAUGUGGUUCUUUUCUGACUUGGUCUUUCCAUACCGCUCUCUUGGUCCGGUGUCCCCAAAUUGUGUCCGACUUCUUUUCUCAAGGUUGCAUCAACUUCCGGGGUGCCUUAUCAGCCUAAGUUUGAGGGGUGUCUUUCAUCCACUACCAUUGAUCCCGGGCUCGUCCAACCGUUUCUCAUCACUCUGUACACACAAUAGGUCCAAAAGAAC
rnacentral:lncRNA from 1 species